UUGCUCAGUUCCUGGCUGAGAGCCAGAGACCACUGUGCAUUCCAGAAUGCUUGCACAGGUCUGUGACCUGGAAUUGGGUAGUCAGUGACAGAGCCGCCAGUGGGCAUCUCUGCCUGCAGCCUGCUUGAGGUCAUGGUGCCCCCAUUUGGGACUGGGACCUCUUCUUGCCCAGUGCCCAGCUCCAAUUCUCUUUAGCUCCCUAUUCUGGAAUGUUCCCUGUAAGUAAUCUUGGCCACUCUGACCCCAUUUCUACAGACUUCUCUUUCCGUAUGCCAACUUCAUUGGAAAAUGACUCAUUGCAACUUUUUCUUAAAUAUCCCAUCAGCAUUCAGUCUGGUGCAUUUUCUAGAUUUGUUUGGAAUUUUGGGGAAAAGGGAGGGCUCAUAUUCCUGCUAUUCUACCAUCUUGACACUGUCUCUUGUCAACUAUUUCUUUUUUUUUUUACCCAUAUCUUCACUAAGUAUUGGUUCUAAGGCAGAAAAGAGGGGAAAGGGAUAGGCAACUGGGGUUAAGUGGUUUGCCUGGGUUCACACAGGAAGUUUCUGAGGCUAGAUUUGAACCCAGGACUUCCUAUCUCUAGGCCUGCCUCUCUAAGAACUGAUUCACCUAGCUGCCCUUUGGCAACUAUUUCUUAAUGAUCUAUUUUAUGAUUUUCCUAGGAAUCAAAAUCAAGCUCAUUGGCCUAAAGUUUGAAGAUUCUGUUUUUUCCCAUUUUUGAAAAUUGGGGCAAGAUUGGUCCUUCCUCAAUUUCUCUUGUUUCCCAUGAUCUUUCAUAUAUCACUGACAAAUACUUCCUCAAUUCUUUGAGGACCUGAGGAUGUCAUUCAUCUAGUCUAGGAAACAUGAAUUCAUCAAAGGCAGGUCACUUCUCCUGUGUUCUAUGUUUGGAGCGCACUCACCUGACGUAAAGCUAGCAGUCUGGGGACACAGAAUUUCAUUCUUCAACAACUAUCCCUCAUGGAUUCACUUCCCCUGAAGUAUUUUAUUCUAUGGAAUCUAGCUUACCUUUCCUGUGAAUUAUUUGAAAUCAGCCUUCCAAAAAUCUAAGGGACAUGUCAGAUUAUGACCAUAUUUCCUCUUCAUCAGAACCUCCAAGAGUGAGUAGUCAUUUCCUUACUAAUUUCAAUUCUUUUCAAUAAAUAUUUUAAGGUCUUUAUUUUAUCUCUUUAAAUAUUUCAAAAUUUUAUUUUUAACAUUUAAAAAGUGUUUGAAUUCCAAAUUCGAUCAUUCCCACUCCUUUUCCAGCUGCUGAGAAAGCAAGCAAUGUAUCCAUUUUCAUGUGAAAUCAUAUAAAACACAUGUCCAUAUUAGCCAUAUUUCCAAAAAAGCAAGAAAAAUAUAUAAAGUGAGAAAAUUAUACUUCAAUUUGUACUCAGAGUUCAUCUGUUGUGUCUUUGGAGGUAGAGAACAUUUUUUCAUUGUGAAUCCUUUGGAACCUCCUUGGAUUGUUGUAUUGAUUAGAGUAGCCAAGUCUUUCACAGUUGAUUGUCAUUAUAACAUUGCUAUUACUCUGUAAAAUUAUCUCCUAGGUCAGGGAUGGUGAACCUAUGGCACAGGUGCCAAAGAUAGCCUGCAGAGUCCUCUCUGUGGGCAUGCACACUGUCCUCUCCAGACUUCAUUACUAGAAAGCCAGAGGGACUCAGGUUAGAGCUGUUCCCUUCCCCUUCUCCAUGCACCUGAGGACAUUCCUCCCUUCCUCUGCCCAGCAGCCAAUGGGAGCUCUUCCUUCCUCCCCUGUUUAGGGUAAAGGGGUGAGCAGCCCCCUCUACUAGAUGGGGAGCAUGGUGUUGCACUCUGUCUCUAAGAGGUUCACCAUCAUUGUACUGUCUUCUCAUUUUAUAUCGGUUCAUAUAGGCCUUGUCAUGUUUUUCUGAAACUACUCCCCUUAUCAUUUUUCAUGGCACAAUAGUACUCCACUGCAAUCAUACACUACCACUUGUUUAGCCAGUCCCCAAUAAAUGAGCAUCCCCUUGAUUAGAAAUCAAAAAUUCUUUCCCAUCACAAAAACUUCUAUAAAUAUUUUUUGUACAUAUAAGUCCCUUUCCUUUGACUUUGAUCUUUUGGGAUACAGAGCUAGAUGUAUUGCUGGAUCAAAGGAUAUAUACAGUUUUAUAGCCUUUUGGGCCUACUUCCAAAUUGUUCUCCAGAAUGUUUGGAUCAGUCCACUAAUAGUUCAUAUUUUCCCCUUAUCCUCUUUAGUAUUUAUAAUUUCUUAAAGGUAUGAGGUGGUAUCUCAGAGUAGUUUUAAUUUGCCUCUUUCUCCAAUCAGUAGUGAUUUAGAGCAUUUUUUCAUAUGACUGUAGAUAGCUUUGAUUUCUUCUACUGAAAACUGUCUGGUUAUGUCCAUUGACCAUUCGUCAGUUGCAGAAUGGCUCUGACUUUUAUAAAUUUGAUUCAAUUAUAUAUUCAGUUUUUUAGAUAAAUAAGGCCUUUAUAAAUAAGCUUAUGGUAAUUUUUUUGUUAUUACUUCAUUGUCUAUGGUCCCUCUUAGCAUAAAGUAGUUUUCCUGAUUAUCCCUUUUAAUUAGGUCUAUUUUUGCUUUUGCUUUGUCUGAAAUGCCUUUUUUAAGUUUAGGUGAAGUAUAUUAGAUUCUGUUUCAACCCUUCAUUUUAACUCUGGGUAUGUGUUUCAUGUGUAUGUCUUAUAGCAUGUUGUAGGAUCCUGAUUUCUAAUCCCUUCUGUAAUCUGUUUCCAUUUUAUGGAUGAGCUCAUCCCAUUCACAGUUAUGAUUGUGUUUUUUCUUCUAUCCCAUUUUCUUCUGUUUCAUCUCUCUCUCUCUCUUUAUCCUGUUUCUCCUCAAUAAUUUAUUUUGCUUCUAAUCACUGAUCCCUUUAAA